UACGUAGGGUGCGAGCGUUAAUCGGAAUUACUGGGCGUAAAGCGUGCGCAGGCGGUUUCGUAAGACAGAUGUGAAAUCCCCGGGCUCAACCUGGGAACUGCGUUUGUGACUGCGAGACUCGAGUGCGGCAGAGGGGGGCGGAAUUCCACGUGUAGCAGUGAAAUGCGUAGAGAUGUGGAGGAACACCGAUGGCGAAGGCAGCCCCCUGGGUCGACACUGACGCUCAUGCACGAAAGCGUGGGGAGCAAACAGG
rnacentral:rRNA from 1 species